UGUCCUACGGGAGGCAGCAGUGAGGAAUAUUGGUCAAUGGGCUUACGCCUGAACCAGCCAAGUCGCGUGAGGGAAGACUGCCCUAUGGGUUGUAAACCUCUUUUGUCAGGGAGCAACGCCGGCUACGUGUAGCCGGACUGAGAGUACCUGAAGAAAAAGCAUCGGCUAACUCCGUGCCAGCAGCCGCGGUAAUACGUAGGGUGCGAGCGUUAAUCGGAAUUACUGGGCGUAAAGGGUGCGCAGGCGGUUGAGUAAGACAGAUGUGAAAUCCCCGAGCUUAACUCGGGAAUGGCAUAUGUGACUGC
rnacentral:rRNA from 1 species